rnacentral:rRNA from 1 species
UACGUAGGUGGCAAGCGUUGUCCGGAUUUACUGGGCGUAAAGAGCGCGCAGGCGGUCGUUCAAGUCGAGUGUGAAAGCCCCCGGCUCAACUGGGGAGGGUCAUUCGAUACUGAUCGACUCGAAGGCAGGAGAGGGAAGUGGAAUUCCCGGUGUAGUGGUGAAAUGCGUAGAUAUCGAGAGGAACACCUGCGGCGAAGGCGGGUUGCUGGGCUGACACUGACGCUGAUGUGCGAAAGCUAGGGGAGCGAACGGG